AACUAGAUCAUCUUCUUGUAUUUUUGGUGCCAAAACGGUUUCUGCUAAUAGCUUGGACAUUGACUUAACAUCAUCAUUAAAAACAGCUGCUUGGUAUAUCAUGGAUUCGCGACUCGUAGAACACAUAUAGUUACCUCCUAAAUUUUCUAGUUUUGCUUUCAUUUCUCCAACGGGAGUACGCUCAGUAGCCUGAAACGCAAGCCUAUCCAUAAAAUGGCUCACACCAGAGAAUUUUUUUGUUUCGUAUCUUGAACCAGCUUUCACAUAAACCCCUAAACCAGAAAAGUGCCCUGGUCUUGGAUCACAAACAUAUGUUACACCAUUUUUAAGCUUUUCAGUUCGGACCUCGUUUAAUGCAGGGUCUUGAGUGCUGUAAAAUGAUUUUAAUGCCGGUGUACAUUCUUUUCUAAAUAGCCUCCGUUUUAAUACCGUUUUGUGCGAAAACCCGAUGUUUUUUAGACACUGGUAUUCUGAUAACAUUUUUGGAGUGGUUAGAAAGCUCAUCUGUGUACGGUUAAUUACUGGACUAAACUAGAGACUUUUUUGACUAACCGCUGACUAUAAAAGUUUAUUAAAUAGAUUUGAUUUUUAACUGUUAAACAUUGCCAUUUAUUAUGAGGAAAAUGAGAUUAAAAAUAUUGACUAAGUUGUUGUUUUGUCUUUUGGCAGACGAAUCUUUAUUUGAGCUUUAUUACUGAUCUUUUGUUAAUUAUUCUUAAAUCAUCAGUCAGUUUUAUUAAAUUUUAUCCAAGGCUCUGGAAAUUUAAGAAGCAAACAAUGAAUUAUCACAGCGAAUAGCCUUGUACCGUGAAAAGCCUUGUCUUUGAGUUAAUCCAAUACAUCGAAAGAUUUGCCAAGUCUAUUUAAAGAAUAUAAUUAUUUAAAAUAGGUAGAUGUUUGAUCUACUUACAAUUUUGCCUUCUAUACUUAGUAAAGUAUGCACGUAUUAAGUAUAACUAUGUGCGUCUUAUCUGAUUAGAUACCAGCUUUUGAAGCCGUGCAUAACACCUGAAAUUUCAUGAAAA